rnacentral:rRNA from 1 species
GACGAACGCUGGCGGCGUGCUUAACACAUGCAAGUCGAGCGAUGAAACACCUUCGGGUGUGAAUUAGCGGCGAACGGGUGAGGAACACGUGAAGAAUCUGCCUUCAACUCUGGGAUAACUCCGGGAAACCGGGGCUAAUACCGGAUAUGAGCCUUGAUCGCAUGAUCGGGGCUGGAAAGUUUUUCGGUUGAAGAUGACUUCGCGGCCUAUCAGCUUGUUGGUGAGGUAAUGGCUCACCAAGGCGACGACGGGUAGCCGGCCUGAGAGGGCGGCCGGCCACACUGGGACUGAGACACGGCCCAGACUCCUACGGGAGGCAGCAGUGGGGAAUAUUGGGCAAUGGAGGAAACUCUGACCCAGCGACGCCGCGUGAGGGAUGAAGGCCUUCGGGUUGUAAACCUCUUUCAGUAGGGAAGAAGCGAAAGUGACGGUACCUACAGAAGAAGCACCGGCUAACUAUGUGCCAGCAGCCGCGGUAAUACAUAGGGUGCAAGCGUUGUCCGGAAUUAUUGGGCGUAAAGAGCUCGUAGGUGGUUCGAUACGUCGGAUGUGAAAAUCAGGGGCUCAACCCCUGACCUGCAUCCGAUACGGUCGAGCUAGAGUUUGGUAGGGGAGACUGGAAUUCCUGGUGUAGCGGUGGAAUGCGCAGAUAUCAGGAGGAACACCGAUGGCGAAGGCAGGUCUCUGGGCCAAUACUGACACUGAGGAGCGAAAGCGUGGGGAGCGAACAGGAUUAGAUACCCUGGUAGUCCACGCCGUAAACGGUGGGCGCUAGUUGUGCGAACCUUCCACGGUUUGUGCGACGCAGCUAACGCAUUAAGCGCCCCGCCUGGGGAGUACGAUCGCAAGAUUA